GUUACAUAAAAGGAAGGAGUAAAGUAACAUAGAACAUUUGUUCUGCAGAGUCAGGGAAGGCUUCACAAUACAGGUGGCCCCUGAGCAGCUAUGAAGAUUGGGCAGGGCUCUGCCAGAGAAUGAUAGAGGGCUUCAGGAUUCAAAACUUUGAUGAUGGAACAGAUCUGUGAAUGGAGGUGUCAAUGGAUUAACAUGUGUAUUCCCAGAGCCUAUGCAGCCCUUGACUUGGAUGACCAAGUGAAUGAAUAAUAAAUCUGAAGUCCAAGUUAAGCAAAUGCAAAGCCUGGAAGUGUGUGGGAGGCUGCCUGGGGUCCAAAGCUGACAGGAGCAAGCAAACAAGGACAUUGAUUGCCUGCCACAUGCAAGAUUGGGUCCAGGUGCUGAAGAAACACAGAUGUGCUGCAUCCUUGACUUUAAGGAGCAUCCCUGGGUUGGAGGGAUUCUCUGCAGGCUGCUGUGGUGGAGGGAAGAUUUGCCCAACUUACUCUUGGCGCUGGACCCCCUGAGCCAUCUUCACACACCCAGGAAGACGGGUCUGAAGAAGCAAGGACUGGCAAGUCUGAUCCCCCACUCUGAUUCUCAUUGCUGAAUGUCUGGGUCUUCCUUGUGUACCUGCUGGGGUGGGAGACUGCUCGCAGCAUACCUGGCCUAUGACAUGCCUAGCUCUCUGGGGUGGAUCUUGGACAGGAAGACUGCUUCUGCCAGAGUAAAGAAUAUGACGGAGCUCCUCAUCCGAUGGAGCCUCUGGGAAGAGGCGAAGAGCCAGCUGGAAGCCUGGUGGGCCUCCGCUGCCAGCAGGACAGAUGCAUCAAGUCAGGUUUAUGGGAGAAGUCUUCCCAGACCACUAUGUCCAAACUUCUGUCCAUCCUGCUAUAACCUCUCCAGUUAGAUGGAUGAAAACCAGACCAGUCAGCCAUGGACCAGAGCUGCAAAGAUAAGAACCCAAAGAAGAAACAAAUGGUGUAGCAUUAAGUAUUUCUUUCCACUUGAGCAGAAAAAUCGGAGACUAAGGGAACUGGAGGAGUGUGGCCUUUGAAUGAGACUUGAGGUGGUGAGACAGCAAGUGAACGUGGGGAUACUUGCUCAGAGCUUUGCUAGAAUACCUCAUGGUUUACUGGACCUAGGACCUUCUUGAUAUAGAAAUGACCAUAAAAAGAAAGCAGACAGAUUCCCAUGAAGAAAAAGUGACCUCUCCUCUGAAUUCCAUGCUUGGAAAAGUACUUAUUUAAAGGAAGGAAAAAAGUCUCCAAAGCAAAACCUGGCUUGUUUAGAUAACUUGGUCUAGGAACAUGGCGGAAGCUGAACCCAAGAACAUGCCUGCACAGUGCAACUUCUGGGUGGGAGUCAGUUGUCUUUUCUGAGUUCCCUGGACCUGAGAGUGUGACACUGAGACCAGGGGUGUGGAGAAAUCUAUCUCAUAUUUAUGACAUGUGGUGGGAUCUUUACUGAGCAUUUCAACCCAUCCUGUAGUAAAGAGUGCUGAAUCAUGGUGGGUCACCCUUCUAGACUAGAGACAGCCUGGGUGGGUUCACUGGAACCAGCCAAAAUGGCCACAGGACCAGCUUGAGUCUCCACUACAAAGGGCAGGUGAGGGGAGCAGGAGGUAGAACGUUCACAGGACAGGACGAUCAGGAGCAGAGAGUUGCUCUAAGAUAUGAGCACCAGAUGGGGAAAUUUAACAGAGUGGACUGUAGAGUCACUUGGAAGGAAAAAUGGAAGAGGAUUUUAUAUUACAGCUGCUGUCAAUGGUUCUAACCUUGUAGAAAUCUAUAGGUAAAAAUAUUGUGAAAUUACAUAUGCCCUUUGUUUUCACUUAGUUUUUAAUUUCGCUUACUCUAAUUACUAGCUUUUCAAUAUAGGUUUAAAAAGCAGUUAUCAGAUUUUUAUUAAUUAAGAUAGAAGAAAUCUUUUCUCAUAGACUAUUUAGUUUUUUAUUUUGAAAUUAUGUUAAACUUAUAGAAAAAUUUACAAAAAUAGUACAGAGAGUUCCUGUAUAUCCUUCAACUAGCUUUCCCUAGUGUUACUGUCAUACUUAACAAUAAUACAUUGAUCAUAAAUAAGAAAUGAACAUUGGUACGACACUAUGGGCCUAACUACAGACGUUAUUCCACUAGUAUCCUUUUUCUGGCUCAGGAUCCAAUUCAGGAUCUCAAAUUGCCUUUAGUUAUCACGACUCCCUAGUCUCUUCCAAUCUGUAAUUGUCCCAAAUUUUUCUUGACAACUUCAACAUAUGUUUUUAAAACUUUUUAUUUUGAGAUAACUUUAAAUUCACAUGCAGUUGCAGGAAAUAAUACAGAGAGAUCCCUAUAUUCCUCACCUAGUUUCCCCCAUUGGUAACAUCUCAAUAACUAUGGCAUAAUAUCACAACUUGGAAAUUCACAUUGAUGAGGUACAUGGAUCUUCUUCAGAUUUCACCAGUUUCACAUGGACCUGUGUGUAUCAGUGUGUGUGUGUGUGUGUGUGUGUGUCUGUUUGUAUCAGUUCUGUGCAGUUUUAUCACAUGUGUAGAUUCAUAUGGCCACUACCAGAGAACAGUUCUAUCACAAGGACCCCCAGUGCUACCCUUCUAUAGCUAUUUCCGUUUAUCCCCAGCUCCCAAUCCCUGGCAGCCAUUAAUUUGUUCUCUAUCUCUAUAGUUUUGUCAUUUCAAGAAUAUCAUAUAAAUAGAGUUAUACAGUAUGUAAUCUCUUGAGAUUGGCUUUUUUUCACUCAGCCUAAUUUUCUUGAGAUCCAUCCAUGUUGUUGCAUUGGUCAAUAAUUCAUUCAUGUUUCUUGCUAAGUCGUACUCCAUGGUUUGAUGGACCAGUUUGUUUAGGCAUUCAAUUGUCGAAGGACAUUUGCACAACCUCAGUUCUUUUGAAGUCAGUUUUUGUAGAAUGUCUUUUGAUUUGAGUUGGUCUGAUGUUUUCACAUAUUUAGAUCAUGGCAAUGCAUUAUCAUCAUGAAUACCACAAAAGGGCUGUGCCCUUCUGAGUUCAUCCUAUCAAGGAGUACAUGAAGUCAAUAUGUCUCAUUACUGGUGAUAUUAACUUUAAUAGAUUGGUUAAUUGGUGUCUGCCAGGUUUUUUUCUGCUGUGAAAUUACUGUUUUUCCUUAGUAAAUAAUAAAUAUUUUGGAGGAAAUUGCUUUCUUUAACGGAACUUUGAUAAAUGUGGAUGGUGUAUUCUUAGCUUUCAUAUUUAUCUUGACCCACAAGCCUGUGGCUUUCUGGGUCACUUUGUCCAAAGCAGAGCCAGAGCUUGUCAUGAGGUAUCAGUGAUUAGAGGAGGACGCAUUAUCCAAAGAGGAAACUAAACACUCUAUGCUUCUUAGAACACAUUCUUCAAUGUCAAAUCUUGAUUGAAAAAAAAAAAAAAAGCCCAGCUAAAAAUGCUAGCACUGUGGGUGAGGACACACUUUUCAAUAAUUUCCUCUGGUGGGUUACGCACCUGCUUAGAUAGCGAAAACUUGUCCCUUUGGAAGUAGAUUCAGCUAAAAGUGUGCUGUGGGUGGCUUUGACUCAGACCUCUGAAGGGAGCAAGGUUGGCCAGUCACCUACCUAGAUGGGGACCCAUCUGCUCUGUGUCUCCUGUUAUAAUGGAGGAGGGGUCCUUCUCUCACUUGAGAACAACUCUCCCCAUUGCCCACCAAUGCUUUGGCUCCUAUCCUCUUCCUCAUUUAUGGGAACUUUAUGCUAUCACUUUUACCAUCUUUCUCUGUUACAAUCUAUUAUCGAUCACGGCUUGAACUACAGAUAGUUAAACAUACUUAAAUCUUUCCAGUCUUAAAAGUUAUAAGGAAUAUAAAUAAAGUAAGUAAGUGAGUAAGGAAAUCAGUAAGGAGGUGCCCUGAAAAUUCCAAGGGGCCCAAAACUCCAAGGACAUUUCCACCCCACCUAUAAAUGAGUGGCUCAGUGGCCAUGUGACCUGGUUUUGACCAAAGUGAUGGCAAGAUGGGUUUGCUGUGAAUGUUUCUUCUUGCUCUCAAAUGACAGACACAUGGAUGGGUUUAAUCUUUUUCUCCCAGUGGACAGGAACCAGGAAUGACAGUCCUGACUUCCACAUCAGCCAUCCUACAAUUGCGAUAUGAACCAGGUUUAGGAUGAAACAGCCAUGUGGAUGUUGGAAUGGAGAGAUGGAAAACAUCUAGGCCUUCCAACAUGUUAAUGUUGGAAAAACAGGAUAUAGCAUGGUUUCAGGUAGACCUAGUUUGUUCUAGCUCUUGCUCUUACUAACAAAUUACUUCAUUUCUCUCAUUCUCAGCUUCCCUGUAAGAUGAGAAUAACAAUAGUGAGAAGAAUUAACAUUUGAUGAGAUCUAAUUAUGUGCUAGGCACUGUUCUAACUCACUAUGUCCAUUCAUUAAAUAGUCACAUGAUCCUAAUUAGAUGAACACUCUUAUUGUCCAUGUUUUAGAGAGAGGAAAAAAAAAGCUUAGAGAAGUUGUUUCUAGCACAAAGUCACAAAGCUAGUAAAAAACGAAGCCAAAAUUCCAAACAGAUCUUGGGGUUCUAUCCAACUCCAAGUUCUUACUACUUAUUUGGAAGGAGGUAUAAUUUGAGUCUGAGCCCUUACUAUCUAGCACAAGGCCAGGACAUGGUAGGUGUUUAAUAAAUGUUUGUUGAACAAAUGUGGACUCUUCAUAUACUUUUUGCCAGCAUAGAAAUUGGGAUUUUCCUUUUGUGAGCAGAGAAAUGCUGAGAGCUGAUUGGAAAGAACAAGAACUCUGACUGAAGGCAAGUUGUGACUUGUAGUUGGAGAGACUUAAUGUCACCAAGCCACCAGUUAGUGGCCUGUUCUAUGUCCCUGGAAACCCAAGCUGUGCUUUAGGCCAACAAGCUAGGAAAUUAUAAACAGAUCUGUAGUACAUGGGGCUCUGUUUUUUUUUUUUUUAUGGAGUCUUGCUCUGUCACCCAGGCUGGAGUGCAGUGGCGCGAUCUCAGCUCACUGCAACCUCUGCCUCCCAGGUUCAAGUGAUUCUCCUGCCUUAGCCUCUUGAGUAGCUGGAAUUACAGUUGCAUGCCACCAUGCCUGGCUAAUUUUUUGUGUUUUAGUAGAAAUGGGGUUUCACCGUGUUAGCCAGGAUGGUUUCGAUCUCCUGACCUCGUGAUCCUCCCGCCUUGGCCUCCCACAGUGCUGGGAUGAGAGGCGUGAGCCACUGAGCCCAGCCACAUGGGCCUCUCUUUACACUCAUAAGGAGGGUUGAUGCAGGACCACAGUACUUUUACACACUGUACCAGCAGAAGGAGUCUCCAUCAAGAUGCCAAAAGCACAUCCUUAUUGUGAGGAACUCCUUAUACAAUAUUAUGAUGGUCUCCAAAAGAGGAAAGGUAGAAUAAACAUUAUUUGAGUUUAGCACUUGAUAAUUUAUGGGUUUAGAGUGUCAGGACAUUAGAGACAACCUUGCAAUGCUCAGCACAACUUGACCAUACAAUUUUUAAAUUAUUAAUUAUAAAUUUCUUAUAUUAGAUAAAGCAAUUAAACCAGUGCUGAUGAAGCCAUGAUGGAGAUGGCCGUGGGAGGAGUAGGCCUAAUUUUCAUGAAUGGAGCUGGUGAGGAGCACUAGAAGAUGCUGGAAUCCUUGUCACGGCCCAGGGUUAUUGUAGUUGAUGCUACAUUCAUUCUAUUUGAAUGAUGCACCAAGACCCAAUCCCCUUCCUUUGGUUCUCCCUGGACAAGAGCCUUGGCAGAGACUCACAGACAUCUAAACUUCGGUCUAGGGGGAGUCAUUAAGACCUCAUUUGUCACCCAUCACAUCUAUCCCUAAAGAGAGAGUGCAAGGACUAUGAAAAUAUCCUGUCCUGGGAUUAGGGAAAUAGGCAGUUGGAGCCAUUUCCUUCCUUGUCUGCUGAUCUAAGAAAGAGAUUCCUUUUCCUAUUUAUGUUCUGGUUUUAAGAAAUUACUAAUUUGAUCAGACUGUGCUCAUGGAUAAGAGACAAUAAGAAGAUGCUGUCUUUAAUUUCUUCGAAUAAUUUAAUAUUCAAUCUUAAUAGAUCUUCCAUUAUGAAGGAUGAAGUAGACAAAAGUUAACUACAGCUUCUGCCUCCAUUCUUGGAAAAGACAUGCCAGCAAUUAGAUGCUGGUGGUGAAGGACUCUUUCCACAAGUUAUGGGAUUACUGUCAUAGUCCUUCAAACAACACAGGACUUGAUGCUGUUUUAACAGUUUUUGUCUGAAAACUACCUUGAUUUUGUUUUUUGCCUGUAUUGUCCUCUUUUAAUCAUUCAACCUGGCUGGGAUUCAGCAAUUUCUGUGUUUCAAACCUUUCGACUGACUUAACCAAUUUUAACACCUUUGCUUCUUUCACUUUGAUCCUUGAAUUAGCUUCCCAGAGAUACUCUAAAAGAUUUAUGAUUAAAACUUCUUUCUGGGUAAAAGAUUAUUAUUAAUAGUAUUUAAUUUUAAUGUUUCCCAUGUUUGCUAUCUGCCCUCUUUUUCUUCACAAGUUUAACAUAACUUUUUCCCUUAUUCUCACAUGUCUAAAACAUCUAUCCCAUCAUCAAUGGUAAGGUCAUUUUGUUUUGCUUAUUUUUCCCCAACAUGUGCAGAUCUGGAGAAAUACUAUAUAACUUCAGAGAUAAUGCUAUUAUCAUCACAUUCACAGUGACAUAAGAAAGCUGAUGACAGUAACUGCUAGAGUAGGUCUAUUAUCUGUUUCUCACCAAAUCUUUACCUGGCUCUUCUCAGAUAAGCUAUUAGACAUGGGCUUUGGGUCACACAGGUCUUGAUCCAAAUCCUGGUUGCACUACUUACUAGCUUUGUGGCUUUGGGGAGUCUUUUAAGUACCCUCAAUUGGUCUAGAUAGGCCAGCUUAUGCUGCAGUAAAAAACAAUCUCAAAAUUUCAAUGGAUUAAAACAAGAAAUGUUUAUUUCUUGCUUAAGCAAAGUCUCAUACAGGUAUGGGCAGCUCUCUAGCACAGCUGUUGUCUUCAUGAUGGCUCAGCAUUAACCAUUCACGUCUACACUGGUUUCCUGGGUCACCAUGGCACAAGAAAGGUUAAGUGGAGAAUUAAGCAUCAACAACUAAAUGUUCCUAUCCAGGAAAAACAACAUUACUUCUGCUUCCUUUUCACUGGACAGAAUUCAUAUGACCACAACUAAUAUCCAUAUGGCAGAGCAUAGCUACUUCCAUGUGCGCAGAAAGAAGACAGAAGUGGAUACCAAUGAACAAUUAUAAUGCCGCAUUCCCUAACCUUCAUUUUCCUCAUCAAUAAAAUGGCAAAGGAUUAUUAUGUCAAGUCAAUAAGAAAAUGUAUAUUAAAUGCUUAGAAUUAAAACUGCAAACACUCAGAUAAUUGGGAGUUUUUAUUAUAUAUGUUAAAAUGUAAUAGCAUGGACAUAACAUCUCUUUUGCAUGAAGGGAAAGCAAAAGACAUGAUAUUAAGAGCUCUAUAUGCUAUUUCCAAUAAAAGCCCCAUCAUCUACAACUGCUAUUUGAGCCACUUGAGUGCAAGAUAUAACUCAUUGUAUCAUUCAGAGAAAGAGUGAGAAGGACAUACACCAAAAUAUUAGCAAUGGUUAUCUCUAGUUGUGAAGUUGUAAAAAAAUCUAGUUUACUUCUUUAUAAAUUUUGUUUUUUUCUGGCUUUUCUACCAUGAGUAUGUAUUAUUAAGAAUAAUAGCUUAUUACAUACCAGACUCCCAUUUUAAUUCCCACAAUAUAUUAUGAUUUUGAUGUUAUUAUCCCAAUUUUACACUUAAGGAAACUGGGGCACAGAGAAGAUAAGUAACUUGCCCAAAUAAUGAAUGAUAGAGUCAGGAUUUGUAUAUUAAUCAUAAAAAAUAAAUAUUUUUAAUAGUACAACAUUAUAUUUAUGACCCCAAUAUUAAGUGCACAAUAUGUGCCAGUCACUGUAUAAGGGCCUAUGGGAGAUACUAAGAUGAAGAAGAUACAGUCUCAAGGACCUUACCGUAUCAUUGAGGAGGUAAGCCACA
rnacentral:lncRNA from 10 species